UGAUUGGUGGAGUUUUUUUUCGUCGUUGCCAAAUGUGUUAGGUGUUAGUCAUCAGAUACUGUCAAAAUUGCUACGUGUUAUCGUCUCGGAUUACAUGGAGGUGAUUCAUAUGCCUGCAUUGUUGUCUUCAACACACAUGUCUCCCUGUGUGAUCUAGAUUACACUCUUCACCGAUGUCUCCUCCAAUAAGAUCCAAUUCCGUUUCCCGCAUCUACUCCACCACCGCUUCUCCUUUACAUCUCAUCUAUAUUCUCCAUGAGGUUGUUCCUUCCUCAGCUCUCUGUUAUCUUUGACUUCAUCGCCUCUCCAUUCAUCUUCUCAGUUAAACCCACUGCUUCUUCGACUUCAGUUUCAUCAUCGGCCAACAUAAAAAUAAAUCCUUUCCCCUUCACCGACCGAGUUGUUCCACCGUCAAAAUGUAUUCCGAUUUCCGAUCGUCCUUCCCUUUUGCAAAAAUCUCAAUUAUAAAUUCGGUUAUGGACCCAGUUUUUUACUUUCUCCAAUGUGCGCCAUUGGUGGUUUGGCUGAUGGCUUUACAGUUUCAUUCCUAACUCCUUCAAUCGCAACCUCCACCGUGUAUUAGUCUGUCUUAAUCUAUGGUUAGAAGUCGUUUACUUCAGUCGUCUGCUAUCUUCACGAUUGACGAUGCCAUCGGAAGCUUCGCCGCCUCCGACAACGACGCCGACCUCUGACAACGACGCCAACCUCCGGGUUGCUGAUGAUGUGGUCAAGAAUCAGAUGGGUACAUUGUGGGAAGUGGCAGUAGAAAAAAACACGGCAUGUAGGGAUAUUAGUGUAUGAUAUCUUGAAGCUAGAGUGCUCUGAUGUUCACUCAUCAUCCCAACAAUCUAUCACCAAGGAUUUACCCUUGUGCUUAUACAAAAGAAGGAAAUAUCAUAUCCGGUUGCAUUUGGAGGUCUUAAGAAGGAUGCAUCAGACCAUGACGAAUAUGAAUCUGAAAUGACAUUUAGGACAAUGCAGCUUCUUUGAGGACUCAACUUGAUCAGCACAAAAGCGUUGUAGAAAAUUUGGUGAAUAACGCUCGGAUUCUAGAAAGCAUGAUACAAUAGGCUAAGUCAAAGACAGAUACUCUUAAAGCACGUGCACAGUCAGCAAAAACUGCAACAAAACUAAGUGAAAUGUUGGUGAAUGUGAAUACAAGCAGUGCUCUUUCAGCAUUUGAGAACAUGAAAGAAAAAGGUUCCCUUUCUUUCUAUCUUAAAACAAAGCAAAAUACAUGAAUGCCCUUGAAACUUUUUUUUGGAUGUUAGUUGUAACCAUGGAGUCUCAAGCAGAAGUGCUUAAUCAGCUACCAAGUGAUGAUCUUAAAGGAAAGGAAGAAUAAAAGAAGAGUUGGGAAAAGUAGCAAUAACAAAUGUUUCAAGUAAUGGGUGAUGGUUUACUUAAAAAGGAUAUUCAUUUGUGUUUUACUACGGGUAUGGUGUGUUUGACCCUGUUCAGAAGUUGGCUUCAGUUGGAGCUGAUACACAUAAAGAUAUAAUUGAAUUUCUCAUGUCUAAAGUGAAGGAUAAAGACAUCACAUACAAGACUUUCAGCUUUUGGAUUUGCAAUUUAUUGCUGUCAUUUUUUUCAAUUGUUUAAUAUCGGGUAUUGUAACUUAAUAAAAUCUUUCCGUUUUGUCCA